rnacentral:rRNA from 1 species
GACGAACGCUGGCGGCGUGCUUAACACAUGCAAGUCGAGCGGUAAGGCCCUUUCGGGGGUACGACGAGCGGCGAACGGGUGAGUAACACGUGGGUGACCUGCCCUCAGCUCUGGGAUAAGCCUGGGAAACCGGGUCUAAUACUGGAUAUGACUCCAUGACGCAUGUUGUGGGGUGGAAAGCCUUGUGCGGCUGAGGAUGGGCCCGCGGCCUAUCAGCUUGUUGGUGGGGUGANGGCCUACCAAGGCGACGACGGGUAGCCGGCCUGAGAGGGCCGACCGGCCACACUGGGACUGAGACACGGCCCAGACUCCUACGGGAGGCAGCAGUGGGGAAUCUUGCGCAAUGGGCGAAAGCCUGACGCAGCGACGCCGCGUGAGGGAUGACGGCCU